ensembl:snRNA U2 U2 spliceosomal RNA
AUCGCUUCUUGGCCUUUUGGCUAAGAUCAAGUGUAGUAUCUGUUCUUAUCAGUUGUGGAUUUUACAGAUUUUACGCUUGUGGAGAACGCUGCUGCGCUUGGGCCUUUUUUUUAUAGUUUUAGUGAGGCCAAGGGUGAUCUUAGGUGCAGACCCGGGAGGCUUGUCCUC